ensembl:lncRNA LINC00319 long intergenic non-protein coding RNA 319
CAUUGCCCUCUGCCCCGCAGCCUGCCCGUUCCCAGGCCAGCGAGGGCGCUCCCAGGCCGGUCUGCAGCCAGAACACAGCCCGUUCCAUGUGCUUGUCCUCGGGACACAUUAGGAAUGAACCCAGGCCUCAGUCCUGGCCUCCUCCUCAAGGCUGGGUGCUCAGACGUCCCCCUCAGCCCCUUUCUCUAGACCUUCCGGCUGAACAAACGAGAACAUCUCACAGCCCUGCAACAGCCAGGAGCUGCUCGUGGAGCUCCACGCCCGGCUGGAGAGAGAGGAGGCACCCUGGGCAGCCCGCCAGCACCCAGGCUCUCACAGUGGAAGCCCACGUCUUCUUGGGCUCUAUUUUGAAAGCUGUUCUUUCCACGACGGCUUUGACAAGAAUCGAUUUGAGUGAGCCGGCGUGUCAAUACAGGCCAGCACAGGACUGGCCUCAGGGCCACAUUGGGGAGGGUGGCGACCAGGCCCUGGCUGCAGCCCACGUGGGCAAAAGCAUGGCCAGGCAGGAGGUGGGGCCUGUGAGCUUGGCUACAGCGACCGUGGGCGCUGGGCCCGGGGCUCCUCAGCCCUGAGGGGAGACCCAGGCCCAGGCAGGCUCCCAGGCGGGCUCCCGGGCUCCCAGCCUUCCGAUCUUCUCCCUUUGAGACCUUGCCUUCUGCACAGUGACAGGAAAGAGCCCUGAGUCCCACUUUGCAGGGAUGUAUUGCAUUUCCAGAAAGUUCCUUCCGGGUGCAGAGUGAUACAUGAACCCUGGGGACUCACUCCAACUUGGUAUUGAUUUUCUCCACGGAGGACCCAGCAGUCACGGCCCGUGUCUGCACAGCCCCUUGGAUCCUGCGGAGGAAUUCAGCCGGCCCCUCCCCCUGUGCCGAAAACCACGGAGGCAAAGCCAGGCCAGGGUACAGUGAGAACACGGGAGAGGACUGAGAGACCGCUGGCUGCCGAGGGAGGAAGAGCAGGAUUCGCACCCCCGUCAUCGCUGGGCCCACACGCCGCCGACAGCUUCCGCGUGUGGCCAUCUGUCUUUCAGAAACCCUCUGGCAGAGGGACCCAGCAGAUGACACGGGGGCCGUUCACACUCUGAAACCUGCCUGGAGUCAAAACACUGCUGGCGAGCCUCCACCGCAAACCCAAUCCAGAUGGUCUUCCCUGGUGGCCCUCGGGGUGGCGGGCACCCUGCCCACUCCCUGCCAGCCCCUGCCCGCUGGACUCCAGGCCCGGCCGAGCCCCCGACCGGUCUCCUGACCCAGCAUGCUGCUCUCCCCUGGGCCCGGCUUUCUCGCCCGCUGGGACUCCCAGGCCCCUCCAGCCCAGCCCCGAGAGCAGGAGCCCCAAGGGAGGCUUGGCGGCUGUGGAGGCGAGUGGGCCACGUGUAGCUGGGAGGCCGGCAGGACCAGGAGCCCCUCACAGCGCAGCACCCACAGCAUCACGAGCCACUUCCACUCCUGGGUGGCCUGGGGGCCCCCACCCUGCUCUGAGCUGCCCCUUGUUGUGACCUGGGGUCCCCCGUGGUGGGCCCGCCCCUUGAGCCUGGGAUCCAGCCUCAGCGAGGCUCCAGAAGUGUCGUCUCCGCCGGCCAGGCGUCAGCGCCUCCACCCAGGAUCACACACUCCUAUCUCUGCACUUCUGCCCUCCAUCCUGCUCCACGCCGCCUCUGCUUGUUAUUCCAGCACAUUCCAGGGUGAUGCCUGCUGAAGCCACGCAGCCAGUGCCUCCACCCUACCCCCCAUCUGACCCACCGGCCCCUUCCGCACGCUGGAAGCCUGCCCGGCCUGAAGUGUCCUCACCUGUCGCCCUAUCCUCCCCUCCACUCCAGCCCACCGGUGACUCAGCCCUCACAGCUCUCUCCUCCCCGAGGGAGCCGGUGACUUGGCUCUGAUGGUGCCGGGACCCAGCCCCGGCAUGUUCAGAAUCCUUGUCCUUUAACCUGCGUCCACAUGUAGUCGCCUCCACCUCCCUGCCUGAACCUCCAGGCCCUGCAGAGCAAACACUGCUGCCUGCAGGAGACCCCUGGGGCCUUCUCCGUCCCCUCAUCCUCCUAAGGAGCCUCCCCUGCCACCGUGCCAGAAUGUGCCGGAGGAACAGAGGCCCGAGCCUCCCGUGGCCCCAGCGAGGCUUCCUCUGGGGAAGACAGUGAGCCCAACGCCCUGGCUCUCGAGGGGUGGACGGAGUCCAGCUGGCAUCGACCGGGUGCCCCUCUUCACCGGUGUCCACAGUCCUUGAGAGCAAAGGGUUCCCAGAGGCGACCUCCCUCCUGCACAGGCAUUUGUCAUCCUUACCCUCUAGGACAGCUUUGCCAUGUGCAGUGAACCCCUGGACAGUGUUGCGUGCCACUUUGCCGGAUUUGGACUGUAUACAGACCGAAGCAUGUGGCAUGAAGCCUUCUGCUGUCAGCAAGUUCCUUGUCCCUCGACAGUAUGUGCCCAGGCUGCCCUUCAAGGUGGCAGUGAUGGCAGUUGUCUCUUGCACGCUGCGUACAGUUCUGUCACUGACUCUUACACACAGCCCUGGAGACGGGAGAGUGCCGGGAGCAUUCUAUGCAAGUGUCCUGGCCUUUGCGGGCGUCUCCACAGCACAAACACGAGUCAGGGACCACCCCUCUUCUGCUUCCAUGAUUCCACCAACUGGGUGGGGCAGAGCAGUGCCAGGGCCGGAGGCACGCCCCAGGUGAGGGCAGGUGGCCAUGCCAGUGAGUGCACUGCGUUCUCAGUUAAUUCAUCCGAAAUAUUUCUAAGUUUCUUGAUUAUUGCAGUUGCAUCCCCAAGAUAAUGCCGCCCUCACCAAGUAGAAGGCACAUGUGCUCUGAUGGCCCCUCCCACACUGGGGUCAGGGCACAGCAACUUAGCGAGGCGACGUGGGGGCUCAGAGGACCUCGGACCAGGCUCGGCACAUGGGGCUUCUCCAGCCAGCCAGGGGGAAGCACCCUGCAGACUGCUAACUUUUGCAAAAUAGAGUAAAAAAGAUCAGCUAGAAAAAUAAAACAAAAAAGGAAAGAUAUACAAAAUACAAGGCC